CCCUACAUCACAUUUUUUGCUUAGCUUUUCUUUUCGAGAAAAGGAUGGUGGUGGCUCUUAUCUCCAUUUUAUCAUUGAACAAAAUAUGUGUAAAAAUAUUUUUAAAGAGCUUCUUUUGUGAAAUCAUCUGCAACUCUGUAUUUGGCACCUUUUGGUAGGUUUUUGAAGUGGGAUUUCAUAAAUUCUUUAUCCUGAAAGGUACCUUUGCAAUAAUUAGCCUUGGUUGCACUUUCUUUUUGAUUCUUUGCAGUAUUAGGGCGUGUAGGUAUUCUGUAACUCUCUCUUAAGUUCAUCCUCGAUUCAAAUGAUACAUUAUGGACUGUGCAACAGACCAAACAACUGACCGACCAACUGAAGGGUGCAGUUUUAUGGAAAACUGUUGUAAGGCUAUGUGAUUGACAGAUGAUAUCUUAUUUCAGAGAUGUAUUUCAAGCAGCACUCAGGAAGGUGCCAGGCAUAACUAAAGAAUCAGACAAAAGAUUAAUAGAAGCUUUGAUGGCUACCUUCAAAAGGCGCAUGCACUUCCAGUUGCUGUGUUUUCAAGUGGAUAUGGAGGAACUUUAACCCUGACAGUUAAACUGAAGUAUCACAGUAAAAAUGAAGUAUUGAAAGUAACUCUCUUGUCAUGAAAAAAAUAUUAUUUUAAAUAGUUUAAAAAACAUAAUUAAUAUGUAGCUUAUUGAAAGCUAAAGUCUUGGUAAAUGCAUGGAUGUUAUGUCAUUGUUGACCUCACAAAGAAUUAAUUACGACAAGUUUAAUGAAAAGACAAAAGCAGGGGGUUUUUUGUCAAGCAAGGUUGUUUUAUUUUGAAUGCAAUUUGUGUGAGAGGUUUACUGACUCAAUAAGAAUUGCAGUAUUACACUCAUCUCCUCAGUUCUUAUUAUCUUAUUGCUACUUAUUUUCAUGGGAACUUAAUUUUGCAAAAAAUAAAACGGGCAUAUUGCUACAUUCAUAUAGGUGAAAAGGAACAAAAUGUCACAAAAAUUGUCGAAAUAGUGAUCUUUAUUAUGAAAUAGUUAGUCUCAUACACUGUAAUUGGCUCAAUUGAUUUCCCAUAACAAUAGUUUCCAGUGACAUUGAACAAAACCAUAUAACAACAUAAAACUGAAAACAUUUAGACAUGCUCCUUUGUAACAAAGCAGGGCUUUACAGAUUACAUGACACUGUCUAUUUACACUUACAACAGAGCUAAGGACAUUGUUAACUUGUCAACUUCUUCAAAUAGAUCCUGGGAGGAAUAGCUGACUCAUCCUUUACAAUCCCAACAUUUACUGCUUUAUCCUUAGGCAGCAUAGUGCUUUUCCUCAUUGCUAGUCAAGGGGUUGUAAAGGCUUGAUUCCAAUGUUGAUUGUGGAAUUAUAUAGCAGCUAGGGCAUUAAAUUUCAUGUGGUUAAUCUUUGCAAAAUUAUUUUUCGCGGGUCUGUAAUUUUGCAAUUGUUUGAAAAUCACAAAAGUUAAGUCUCGUGAAAAUAAGUAGCAAUAAGGUUAGACAUGAUCAGUAAUAAAGUACAUUUUUUACUGUUUAA